UACGUAGGGGGCAAGCGUUAUCCGGAAUUACUGGGUGUAAAGGGAGCGUAGGCGGCAUGGUAAGUUAGAUGUGAAAGCCCGGGGCUUAACCCCGAGGAUUGCAUUUAAAACUAUCAGGCUAGAGUACAGGAGAGGAAAGCGGAAUUCCUAGUGUAGCGGUGAAAUGCGUAGAUAUUAGGAAGAACACCAGUGGCGAAGGCGGCUUUCUGGACUGAAACUGACGCUGAGGCUCGAAAGCGUGGGGAGCGAACAGGAUUAGAUACCCUGGUAGUCCACGCCGUAAACGAUGAGUGCUAGGUGUCGGAGGGGAACCUUCGGUGCCGCAGCAAACGCAAUAAGCACUCCACCUGGGGAGUACGACCGCAAGGUUGAA
rnacentral:rRNA from 1 species